UAGGCGGCGUUUGUAAGUAAGAGGUGAAAGCCCAGAAGUUCAAAUUUGAAAUUGCCUUUUUAGAAUGCUGGGUUGAAUCAUGAGAGUCAGUGACGGCGAGAGAGAGUGAAAUCGUAGAUAUUCGGAAGAACACCAGUGGCGAAAGCGGCUGACUGGACAUGUAUUGACGCUGAGGUGCGAAAGCGUGGGAGCAAACAGGAUUAGAUACCCUGGUAGUCCACGCCGUAAACGAUGAUAACUAGCUGUCCGGACACUUGGUGUUUGGGUGGCGCAGCUAACGCAUUAAGUUAUCCGCCUGGGGAGUACGGCCGCAAGGUUAAAACUCAAAUGAAUUGACGGGGGCCUGCACAAGCGGUGGAGCAUGUGGUUUAAUUCGAAGCAACGCGCAGAACCUUACCAGCGUUUGACAUGGCAGGACGGACUUCCAGAGAUGGAUUUCUUCCCUUCGGGGACCUGCACACAGGUGCUGCAUGGCUGUCGUCAGCUCGUGUCGUGAGAUGUUGGGUUAAGUCCCGCAACGAGCGCAACCCUCGACCUUAGUUGCCAUCAUUUAGUUGGGCACUUUAAGGUAACCGCCGGUGAUAAGCCGGAGGAAGGUGGGGAUGACGUCAAGUCCUCAUGGCCCUUACGCGCUGGGCUACACACGUGCUACAAUGGCGGUGACAGUGGGCAGCAAGCACGCGAGUGUGAGCUAAUCUCCAAAAGCCGUCUCAGUUCGGAUUGUUCUCUGCAACUCGAGAGCAUGAAGGCGGAAUCGCUAGUAAUCGCGGAUCAGCAUGCCGCGGUGAAUACGUUCCCAGGCCUUGUACACACCGCCCGUCACACCAUGGGAGUUGGAUUCACCCGAAGGCGUUGCGCUAACUCAGCAAUGAGAGGCAGGCGACUUA
rnacentral:rRNA from 1 species